GUCUUGGACAAUGGGGAAACCCGGAACCAGCAAUUGGCCGUGUAAGAUGAAGGUAUACGGUAUGUCCAAUACUUUUGUCAGAGACAAAUUGGUAUCCCAUAAAACGCGCUCAUACUCACGGAAUCUGCAUGAUAAGCACCUACUAACUCCGUACGAUCAGCCGCGGUAAUACGUAGGGUCCAUGCGUUAAUCGGCAUUACUGGGCGUAAAGCGUGUGUAGGCGGUUCGGAAAGAAAGAUGUGAAAUCCCAGGUCUCAACCUUGGAACUGCAUUUUUAACUGCCGAGCUAGAGUAUGUCAGAGGGGGGUAGAAUUCCACGUGUAGCAGUGAAAUGCGUAAAUAUGUGAAGGAAUACCGAUGGCGAAGGCAGCCCCCUGGGAUAAUACUGUCGCUCAGACACGAAAGCGUAGGGAGCAAACAGG
rnacentral:rRNA from 1 species